UAGGGAAUCUUCCACAAUGGACGAAAGUCUGAUGGAGCAACGCCGCGUGAGUGAAGAAGGGUUUCGGCUCGUAAAACUCUGUUGUUAAAGAAGAACAUAUCUGAGAGUAACUGCUCAGGUAUUGACGGUAUUUAACCAGAAAGCCACGGCUAACUACGUGCUAG
rnacentral:rRNA from 1 species